AUGAAUGUGCACCACGUGUAUUAGUGGGGGCUGCAGCUGUGUACGCUACUGGGUGCGCAGAGCGAUCGGUGGUGAAAAUCAUAAAAAAACGCGGCUACCUCUAGCGAUUGCUUGCAUGCCCUGCGCUCGCGGAGACCGAGUUGCCUACGUUCUGUUUUUGGCGCUUCUGCAUGCGCUGCUUCUUAUCUCUUUUUAAUUUUCUUUUCCUGCCAUGUAUGCUAGCGUGGGGUCGGUUGCCGCCUGCAUCUUCUCGAUUUCUCGCGUUGCGGUUGCCGCUUCGGUACGCUUUUCUGGAUCUUUCUGCGCCGUGUUCGCUGUUUCCAAUUUGAUUUCUUCUCUUCUCGUGCUUCCUAUAAAUAGUGGUCGCCCCCUGCGUUCAUCCCUCAUUCCAUUUGCUUCCGCCUGCCCUCUUUCUUCUCUAGCCAGUACUGCUGUUUCUUGGUCCGGCGAUGGUUAGUCCUGCUGCUGUUCGGUCUGGACGACGCCGUCGGGGCCGCCCUCCUGGGAUUUGGGCGGCCGUUAUCGCCCGUGUCCGCCACGCUGGCGACCGUGUUUCUUCCCCAGAUUCUUCGUCGGUGACGGCAGCCGCUGGUCUGCGUGGCCAGCCGGCUGCGGUUGAUUCAGGUUGCCGUUCCGGGGCUCGCCGGCCGCUUCGUUCUUGUCGGUUUGGUGAGCUCCUUUGCCUUUCUGUAGUUGCAGCUUCCUCUGUAUUGAUCUUGUGCUGCUUCGUCUAGGAUGUGGUCAUCUUGGUUGGUUGUUUCAUGUUGUAGGUGUCCACCGAUUCGACUCGGGGCAGAUUGUUAAUGCAGACGUUGAUAGCCGCCGUCGGGAGAUUUUAUUAGGGUAGCGGCCUGUAGAUUGUAUUGUUGGCAUAUCGGCUGGGUGUCGAGCCAAGCGGCUUGGCAGGCGUGCUCCGCCGCCGACAUGGCGACAGCGUUCGCAGCGACGCUGGUGGCCACAUGCACCAACAUGGCCAUGAUUCUGCAGCAUCGCUAUGUCCAUGGCUUCUGCGACGUUGUGGCGUUCUGCAGUGUCCUCUUGCUGGCCAUGAUUCUUUCGGUGUUCCUUUGUCGCAGGAGGGUGCGCCUGUGCACCGUAGGAGUACUUCCUGGCGAGCAUGGCGAAGAUGAUCACGGCGAAUGACGAUGUCCCGGCGUCGCCGCGGGGCCUCAAGGAGCUGCUCGCGUGCUACGUGCUACCUCGCCCUCGAUGCCGGAAGAGCACCACCGCGGCAUCGCUUCUUCUCCAUCUUCGCGCCGCAUCGUUUCUUCUCUGCCUUGCCCCGCCCCCACGCACCAGGAGAACCCGACGCUGCUGCGUGCCGCGCGAGCCAUCCAAAAGGGAGCUCGCCGCACGCAUGAUCCACGCAUCCAACAACACUUCCGCCCUGCGGCCACAAAGCGGGGCUCCGUCGCCGCCACUAGGUGCCCGUACCGGGCAGGACCUGCCUCGAGCCGAUGCCGCUGCUGCUCUGCGGAGCGAGAAUCGCCGGUCGCUGUGCCGGUUAAUCACGCGUACAAGCUGUCGGCCGUGGCGGCGGCGCACACCACCCGCAGUCAGAUUACGAAAUAUGAUUAGGGGUUAGUAAUCAGAUUGUAUAAUUCUGACCAUAACAGAGGAUGAAAUGUCAUGGGUAGUGUAAUUAUAGCAGCUAAGUAGGUAAUAUUAGGGAAGGAUAUAUAUGCAUCAUGAAUCAGGUUCUGGUCA